rnacentral:rRNA from 1 species
AGUGAACGCUGGCGGUAGGCCUAACACAUGCAAGUCGAACGGCAGCACAGGAGAGCUUGCUCUCUGGGUGGCGAGUGGCGGACGGGUGAGGAAUACAUCGGAAUCUACUUUUUCGUGGGGGAUAACGUAGGGAAACUUACGCUAAUACCGCAUACGACCUAAGGGUGAAAGCAGGGGAUCUUCGGACCUUGCUCGAUUGAAUGAGCAGAUGUCGGCUUAGCUAGUUGGCAGGGUAAGGGCCCACCAAGGCGACGAUCCGUAGCUGGUCUGAGAGGAUGAUCAGCCACACUGGAACUGAGACACGGUACAUACUCCUACGGGAGGCAGCAGUGGGGAAUAUUGGACAAUGGGCGCAAGCCUGAUCCAGCCAUACCGCGUGGGUGAAGAAGGCCUUCGGGUUGUAAAGCCCUUUUGUUGGGAAAGAAAUCCAGCUGGUUAAUACCCGGUUGGGAUGACGGUACCCAAAGAAUAAGCACCGGCUAACUUCGUGCCAGCAGCCGCCGUAA